AACGAACGCUGGCGGCAUGCCUAACACAUGCAAGUCGAACGAGACCUUCGGGUCUAGUGGCGCACGGGUGCGUAACGCGUGGGAACCUGCCCUUAGGUUCGGAAUACCUCCCCGAAAGGGGUGCUAAUACCGGAUAAUGUCUUCGGACCAAAGAUGUAUCGCCUUUGGAUGGGCCCGCGUUGGAUUAGCUAGUUGGUAGGGUAAAAGCCUACCAAGGCGACGAUCCAUAGCUGGUCUGGGAGGAGGAUCAGCCACACUGGGACUGAGACACGGCCCAGACUCCUACGGGAGGCAGCAGUGGGGAAUAUUGGACGAUGGGCGAGAGCCUGAUCCAGCAAGGCCGCGUGAGUGAUGAAGGCCUGAGGGUUGUAAAGCUCUUUUACCCGGGAUGAUAAUGACAGUACCGGGAGAAUAAGCGCCGGCUAACUCCGUG
rnacentral:rRNA from 1 species